CAACUUUCAACAACGGAUCUCUUGGCUCUCGCAUCGAUGAAGAACGCAGCGAAAUGCGAUAAGUAAUGUGAAUUGCAGAUUUUCAGUGAAUCAUCGAAUCUUUGAACGCACCUUGCGCCCCUUGGCUAUUCCGAGGGGCAUGCCUGUUUGAGUGUCAUGA
rnacentral:rRNA from 1 species